AUGUUGAGAUUAAGGCCAUGCAUGUCUCAGUAUAAGCUUCUAUACGGCGAAACUGCGAAUGGCUCAUUAAAACAGUUAUAGUUUAUUUGGUGGUCAGCAAUUACAUGGAUAACCGUGGUAAUUCUAGAGCUAAUACAUGCGCCCAAACCCGACUUCGUGGAAGGGUUGUGUUUAUUAGAUACAGAACCAACCCAGGCUCCGCCUGGCCUUGAGGUGAUUCAUAAUAACCGAACGAAUCGCAUGGCUAUGCCGGCGAUAGACCAUUCAAGUUUCUGACCUAUCAGCUAUCGUCGGUAGGGUAUUGGCCUACCGUGGCAAUGACGGGUAACGGAGAAUUAGGGUUCGAUUCCGGAGAGGGAGCCUGAGAAACGGCUACCACAUCUAAGGAAGGCAGCAGGCGCGCAAAUUACCCAAUCCUGACGCAGGGAGGUAGUGACAAGAAAUAACAAUACAGGGCAUACAUGUCUUGUAAUUGGAAUGAGUAAACUUUAAAUCACUUU
rnacentral:rRNA from 1 species